rnacentral:ncRNA from 1 species
AUUAAAGCAUUGAUUGAGAGUAGUAGAAAGAAAGAGGUUUUAAAGAGAGAUGGACGUAUGGUGAGAGUCCUCAAACUAUCACUUUUGAACUUGCUCAUGAGCAGCGGGGUGAAAUUAAGUAAGCUUCGCCGGUUAUUACCGUUAUUUUAAUUAAGAGAAAAUUUGGAUGGUACCGCGUAAAUCGCUCCAAUA